AGCCAGACUCCUACGGGAGGCAGCAGUGGGGAAUAUUGCACAAUGGGGGAAACCCUGAUGCAGCGACGCCGCGUGAGCGAUGAAGUAUUUCGGUAUGUAAAGCUCUAUCAGCAGGGAAGAAGAUGACGGUACCUGACUAAGAAGCCCCGGCUAACUACGUGCCAGCAGCCGCGGUAAUACGUAGGGGGCAAGCGUUAUCCGGAUUUACUGGGUGUAAAGGGAGCGUAGACGGCGAUGCAAGCCAGAUGUGAAAGCCCGGGGCUCAACCCCGGGACUGCAUUUGGAACUGUGUGGCUGGAGUGUCGGAGAGGCAGGCGGAAUUCCUAGUGUAGCGGUGAAAUGCGUAGAUAUUAGGAGGAACACCAGUGGCGAAGGCGGCCUGCUGGACGAUGACUGACGUUGAGGCUCGAAAGCGUGGGGAGCAAACAGGAUUAGAUACCCCAGUAGAA
rnacentral:rRNA from 1 species